rnacentral:rRNA from 1 species
UACGGGGGGGUGCGAGCGUUGUCCGGAAUCACUGGGCGUAAAGGGCGCGUAGGUGGUUUGAUAAGGGUGUGGUGAAAGCCCGGGGCUCAACCCCGGGUCUGCCGUGCCGACUGUCAAACUCGAGGGCUGUAGAGGCAGACGGAAUUCCGGGUGUAGCGGUGGAAUGCGCAGAUAUCAGGAAGAACACCCGUGGCGAAGGCGGUUCUCUGGGACGGUACUGACGCUGAGACGCGAAAGCGUGGGGAGCGAACAGG